UACGUAGGUGGCAAGCGUUGUCCGGAUUUACUGGGCGUAAAGAGCGCGCAGGCGGUCGUUCAAGUCGCGUGUGAAAGCCCCCCGGCUCAACUGGGGAGGGUCACGCGAUACUGAUCGACUCGAAGGCAGGAGAGGGUAGUGGAAUUCCCGGUGUAGUGGUGAAAUGCGUAGAUAUCGGGGAGGAACACCAGUGGCGAAGGCGACUACCUGGCCUGUUCUUGACGCUGAGGCGCGAAAGCUAGGGGAGCAAACGGG
rnacentral:rRNA from 1 species